GACGAACGCUGGCGGCGUGCUUAACACAUGCAAGUCGAACGGUGAAGCGCCUUCCUUUUUGGUGGGUGUGGAUGAGUGGCGAACGGGUGAGUAACACGUGAGUAACCUGCCCCCUUCUUCUGGAUAACCGCAUGAAAGUGUGGCUAAUACGGGAUAUUCUGGGUCUGUCGCAUGAUGGGUCUGGGCAAGAUAUUGUUUCGGUUGGGGAUGGGCUCGCGGCCUAUCAGCUUGUUGGUGGGGUGAUGGCCUACCAAGGCGGUGACGGGUAGCCGGCCUGAGAGGGUGGACUGGCUGACUGGGACUGAGGCACGGCCAAGACUCCUCCGGGAGGCAGCAGUGGGGAGUAGUGCACAAUGGGCGCGAGCCUGAUGCAGCGACGCCGCGUGAGGGAUGGAGGCAUGCGGGUUGUGAACCGCUUUCGCCAGUGAAGCAGGCCUGCCUCGUUUGUGGGUGGGUUGACGGUAGCUGGAUAAGAAGCGCCGGCUAACUACGUG
rnacentral:rRNA from 1 species